rnacentral:lncRNA from 1 species
UUCUUCGUUUUUCAGCUCGUUCUCGCGUGCAUGUCCUUCCUCGCUCUAGUACCACUUCCGUAGGUGAUCACGGUUGCAUUUAGCACAUGCAACAAGCCCUUUAAACCCCUAGAUAGCUCUAGUGGACGAGUGUGUUCUCGUGAGGGUUUGUAGAAGAUGUACCCACAAAAUCCCAAGUCGUGAUGAAUCCACAAUUCUCUAUUCUUGCAAAUAAUGCACCAAAAACAACCUAAAAUGAUAGAAAAUCACUUCAUCACCUCAACUCGUGACCUGCACAGAAAAACACUAAAAACACAUCAAAAGACACUAAACACUUAAGUACAACCAACCAAUUUAAGUGGAAAUGAAGGCCUAUAAGUGUGUAUAAAUACCACUUAUCACACCCCCAAACUUAAACUGAUGCUUGUCCUCAAGCGUCAACGACACUAUACAAUAAUACAAUGCAAUGCAUGAAUGCAACUACGUGAUGAAUGAGUGAACUAUGAAGUAAUUGCCUUGCCAAUUAUAAUACCUCAGAUUGUGCUAAUGUUAGAGAGAAAACUGAUAAAACUAUGAUCUGAUAUUCUACUAUAUUCAACUACUACGAGGCUAGGGUUUUACACAUGAAAAAUAAUAAAGUGCAUUGACCAAGUCAACCGGGCCUCGACCGCUGCGAAAAUCCAUCAGAAAAGCUUCGAAAAUCGGCCCGGGGCACUUCUGCUGGGCGCGGCCGCGCUAAACUAGCGCAGGCGCGCUAGUGGUCCCAGUGGAUAGCGCGGGCGCGCUAACACUUAGCGCGGGCGCGCUAGUGUCUGCCACUGGCAGCCAUGUUUCUUCGUUUUUAGCUCGUUCUCGCGUGCAUGCCCUUCCUCGCUCUAGUACCACUUCCGUAGGUGAUCACGGUUGCAUUUAGCAUAUGCAACAAGCCCUUUAAACCCCUAGAUAGCUCUAGUGGACGAGUGUGCUCUCGUGAGGGUUUGUAGAAGAUGUACCCACAAAAUCCCAAGUCGUGAGGAAUCCACAAUUCUCUAUUCUUGCAAAUAAUGCACCAAAAACAACCUAAAAUGAUAGAAAAUCACUUCAUCACCUCAACUCGUGACCUGCACAGAAAAACACUAAAAACACAUCAAAAGAC